ensembl:misc_RNA Metazoa_SRP Metazoan signal recognition particle RNA
GCUGGGCAUGGUGGCACAUGCCUGUAAUCCCAACUACUCAGGAGGCUGAGGCAGGAGCAUCGCUUGAACCCAGGAGGCAGAGGUUGCAGUGAGCCAAGAUCAUGCCACUGCACUCCACCCUGGGUGACAGAGUGAGACUCUGUCUCAA